rnacentral:rRNA from 1 species
AUUGAACGCUGGCGGCAGACCUAACACAUGCAAGUCGAACGGUAACAGGAAGAAGCUUGCUUCUUUGCUGACGAGUGGCGGACGGGUGAGUAAUGUCUGGGAAACUGCCUGAUGGAGGGGGAUAACUACUGGAAACGGUAGCUAAUACCGCAUAACGUCGCAAGACCAAAGAGGGGGACCUUCGGGCCUCUUGCCAUCGGAUGUGCCCAGACGGGAUUAGCUAGUAGGUGGGGUAACGGCUCACCUAGGCGACGAUCCCUAGCUGGUCUGAGAGGAUGACCAGCCACACUGGAACUGAGACACGGUCCAGACUCCUACGGGAGGCAGCAGUGGGGAAUAUUGCACAAUGGGCGCAAGCCUGAUGCAGCCAUGCCGCGUGUAUGAAGAAGGCCUUCGGGUUGUAAAGUACUUUCAGCGGGGAGGAAGGGAGUAAAGUUAAUCCCUUUGCUCAUUGACGUUACCCGCAGAAGAAGCACCGGCUAACUCCGUG